AUUGAACGCUGGCGGCAUGCCUUACACAUGCAAGUCGAACGGCAGCACGGACUUCGGUCUGGUGGCGAGUGGCGAACGGGUGAGUAAUAUAUCGGAACAUACCUUGUAGUGGGGGAUAACUAUCCGAAAGGAUAGCUAAUACCGCAUACGAUCUAAGGAUGAAAGCGGGGGAUCUUCGGACCUCGUGCUAUAAGAGUGGCCGAUAUCUGAUUAGCUAGUUGGUGAGGUAAGGGCUCACCAAGGCGACGAUCAGUAGCUGGUCUGAGAGGACGACCAGCCACACUGAAACUGAGACACGGUCCAGACUCCUACGGGAGGCAGCAGUGGGGAAUUUUGGACAAUGGGGGCAACCCUGAUCCAGCAAUGCCGCGUGAGUGAAGAAGGCCUUCGGGUUGUAAAGCUCUUUUGUCAGGGAAGAAACGGUUGUGGCUAAUAUCCAUGGCUAAUGACGGUACCUGAAGAAUAAGCACCGGCUAACUACGUGCCAGCAGCCGCGGUAACAC
rnacentral:rRNA from 1 species